AAUCUUGGGUCUUGAUCUAUUAAACGACAAACUGAUAACAGUUGCAAUUGAUGACAUUUUCUGGUGCCGUUACGGACUGUUGCAGUGCAGUACAAUGCAGCGCUUGAGAACUGCACCCAGGGUCUAAUCUUAUUUGUGACCUGGUCCAGGCAGGGUGGGCUGAGGUGAGCCGGUAUCUGCGCCAGCGGUCCGAGCAUCUGGGAUAAUCUACAGCCUGGGUUUGUAAAGUGAGUGACUCCUUUACCUACUGAGGAGUGAAAAUAUACACUUCACAUUCCAAGAUUCACUAUGAUAACUACAGAAGAUCUUUGAGGAAGAUCGCUGUAGAUCCAAG